GCGAGAGUGGUGAAACUGGUAUACACGCAAGACUUAGGAUCUUGUGCCUCCGGCGUAGGGGUUCAAGUCCCCUCUCUCGCACCA
rnacentral:tRNA from 1 species